rnacentral:rRNA from 1 species
AUUGAACGCUGGCGGCAUGCUUUACACAUGCAAGUCGAACGGUAACAGGUUAAGCUGACGAGCGGCGAACGGGUGAGUAAUGCAUCGGAACGUGCCCGGUCGUGGGGGAUAACGCAGCGAAAGUUGCGCUAAUACCGCAUACGAUCUGAGGAUGAAAGCGGGGGACCGUAAGGCCUCGCGCGAUCGGAGCGGCCGAUGUCAGAUUAGGUAGUUGGUGGGGUAAAGGCUCACCAAGCCAACGAUCUGUAGCUGGUCUGAGAGGACGACCAGCCACACUGGGACUGGGACACGGCCCAGACUCCUACGGGAGGCAGCAGUGGGGAAUUUUGGACAAUGGGCGAAAGCCUGAUCCAGCAAUGCCGCGUGCAGGAAGAAGGCCUUCGGGUUGUAAACUGCUUUUGUACGGGGCGAAAAGGUCUCCUCUAAUACAGGGGGCUCAUGACGGUACCGUAAGAAUAAGCACCGGCUAACUACGUGCCAGCCGCCGCAGUAA